rnacentral:rRNA from 1 species
UACGUAGGGUGCAAGCGUUGUCCGGAAUUAUUGGGCGUAAAGAGCUCGUAGGUGGUUUUGUCGCGUUGUCCGUGAAAACUCACAACUCAAUUGUGGGCGUGCGGGCGAUACGGGCAGACUGGAGGCAGGCAGGGGAGAAUGGAAUUCCCGGUGUAGCGGUGAAAUGCGCAGAUAUCGGGAGGAACACCGGUGGCGAAGGCGGUUCUCUGGGCCUGUACUGACGCUGAGGAGCGAAAGCGUGGGGAGCGAACAGG